CGGGCAGGCCGGGCGGUUACCCCUCGACUCCGCCGCAAGCGGCGUCGCUCGGGGAGGAAAGUCCGGACUCCAGAGAGCAGCGCGCCUCGUAACGCGAGGUCGGAAGACCUGCCUGCCGGCAGGCAGGAAAGCCGAAGGAAAGUGCAACAGAAAAUACACGGCCGAACUAAGCCCUAAAGGUUUGGUGGCAAUGGUGAAAACGGGAGGUAAGAGCUCCCGACGUAACAGACCGGCAACGGUCACGUUGUAAACCCCGCGCGGAGCAAGACCAAAUAGAGUGAGAGGCGGCUCGCCUCGUUAUGAGCUCGAGUAGGUCGCAUUGAGGCCGCUGGCAACAGCGGCCCCAGAUAGAUUACCGUACAAAGACAGAAUCCGGCUUAUAGGCCUGCCCCAUAU
rnacentral:RNase_P_RNA from 3 species